rnacentral:rRNA from 1 species
GACGAACGCUGGCGGCGUGCUUAACACAUGCAAGUCGAACGGAAAGGCCCUGCUUUUGUGGGGUGCUCGAGUGGCGAACGGGUGAGUAACACGUGAGUAACCUGCCCUUGACUUUGGGAUAACUUCAGGAAACUGGGGCUAAUACCGGAUAGGAGCUCCUGCUGCAUGGUGGGGGUUGGAAAGUUUCGGCGGUUGGGGAUGGACUCGCGGCUUAUCAGCUUGUUGGUGGGGUAGUGGCUUACGAAGGCUUUGACGGGUAGCUGGCCUGAGAGGGUGACCGGCCACAUUGGGACUGAGAUACGGCCCAGACUCCUACGGGAGGCAGCAGUGGGGAAUAUUGCACAAUGGGCGGAAGCCUGAUGCAGCAACGCCGCGUGCGGGAUGACGGCCUUCGGGUUGUAAACCGCUUUCGCCUGUGACGAAGCGUGAGUGACGGUAAUGGGUAAAGAAGCACCGGCUAACUACGUG